CGUAGGGACCAAGCGUUGUUCGGAUUUACUGGGCGUAAAGGGCGCGUAGGCGGCGUGACAAGUCACUUGUGAAAUCUCCGGGCUUAACCCGGAACUGCCAAGUGAUACUGUCGUGCUAGAGUGCGGAAGGGGCAAUCGGAAUUCUCGGUGUAGCGGUGAAAUGCGUAGAUAUCGAGAGGAACACCUGAGGUGAAGACGGGUUGCUGGGCCGACACUGACGCUGAGUGCGCGAAAGCCAGGGGAGCAAACGGGAUUAGAUACCCCGGUAGUCCUGGCCCUAAACGAUGAAUACUUGGUGUCUGGAGUAAUUUGUGCUCCGGGUGCCGUCGCUAACGUUUUUAGUAUUCCGCCUGGGGAGUACGCUCGCAAGAGUG
rnacentral:rRNA from 1 species